UGCCAGCCGCCGCGGUAAUACGAAAGGGGCUAGCGUUGUUCGGAAUUACUGGGCGUAAAGCGCACGUAGGCGGUCUUGUCCGUCAGGUGUGAAAUCCCGGAGCUCAACUCCGGAACUGCCUUUGAUACUGGAAGUCUUGAGUCCGAGAGAGGUGAGUGGAACUCCGAGUGUAGAGGUGAAAUUCGUAGAUAUUCGGAAGAACACCAGUGGCGAAGGCGGCUCACUGGCUCGGUACUGACGCUGAGGUGCGAAAGCGUGGGGAGCAAACAGGAUUAGAUA
rnacentral:rRNA from 1 species